rnacentral:rRNA from 1 species
UCCCUAUGGGGUGCAGCAGUCGCGAAAACUNUGCAAUACACGAAAGUGUGACAGGGCUAUCCCGAGUGCCAUCCGCUGAGGAAGGCUUUUACCCAGUCUAGAACGCUGGGGGAAUAAGGAGAGGGCAAGUCUGGUGUCAGCCGCCGCGGUAAUACCAGCUCUCCGAGUGGUGUGGAUGUUUAUUGGGCCUAAAGCAUCCGUAGCUGGCUGAGUUAGUCCCUUGUUAAAUCCACCGAAUUAAUCGUUGGAUUGCGGGGGAUACUGCUCGGCUAGGGGACGAGAGAGGCAGACGGUAUUUCCGGGGUAGGGGUGAAAUCCUAUAAUCCCGGGAAGACCACCAGUGGCGAAGGCUGUCUGCUAGAACGCGCCCGACGGUGAGGGAUGAAAGCUGGGGGAGCGAACCGGAUUAGAUACCCGGGUAGUCCCAGCUGUAAACGAUGCAGGCUAGGUGUUUGGACGGCCACGUGCCGUUCUAGUGCCGCAGGGAAGCUGUUAAGCCUGCCGCCUGGGGAGUACGAUCGCAAGAUUGAAACUUAAAGGAAUUGGCGGGGGAGCACCACAAGGGGUGAAGCUUGCGGUUUAAUUGGAGUCAACGCCGGAAAUCUCACCGGGAGCGACAGCAGUAUGAAGGCCAGAUUAAAGGUCUUGCCAGACGAGCUGAGAGGAAGUGCAUGGCCA